rnacentral:lncRNA from 1 species
GGGCGUUGUUAUGUUUUGAAUCUCUUGAGGUAACGGGGAAACCUUUGAUCUUUUUGGUGGAUGAAGCCAUAGUCCUUUCUUUUUUCUUUUAUUGUUUUUUCCUGCAAUUAGAAGUAAUCAUUAACUAACUGGCCAUUGUUUUUAUUUUGAAAGUCUUUUAUAAUAAUAUAAAGGUGUUACCUUUAGUAUCACAUACAUUAACAUAUUUAAAGAUUCAUGGCAAUGGGGUCAAUGUCAGGUGAAAC